AAAUCUCUGGGUCUUGAAGGAUCCACUAACUGCCCUGCUAACUUCCAGAAUCUCUUUACAGUGGCGGACUCUUUUGGGUUGGCUGAGAUAGCCUUAAGCUUGCUGAUCACAUUUACUACAUUUCCAUCGACAACAGGCACUACCUCAUGAAUUCAUGAGCAUCCUCCUGUCUACCAUAUCCAAGGUUGCCCCCUAUAUUAGGUAGCCAAUGAAGAAUAUUGACAGGUGAAAAGGGCUGCAGACUUUCCGUAGCUCUUCG
rnacentral:misc_RNA from 1 species